UUAUGUUUAAAAAAGCGGUUUCCAGUUUACCGAAGCCGAUUCAUAGGGCGUCAUGUCCUAAGGAGGGAGGGAGAGAGGAGUGUCUAUCGCAUCUCAAGUUGCCUAUUCAGAAUCGGGGCUAUUUUGGAACCGAAAAAUUUUCAAAGUCGCAUCAAUGGGUAAAGGUUGAUGAUGGAAUUGGAAUUGUUGGUGUGACGCCUCACGCAUUGAAGGACAUGGGGGAAGUUGUGUUUGUCGAUUUACCUAGGGUCGCUCAAAAGGUGACCAAGGAUCAGGUUUUGGCGUCCAUCGAGGCGAGCAAAACGACGUUGGACUUGCAAACACCUGUUGGUGGAGUUGUAUUGGAAGUGAAUCAGGAGUUGGUGGAUAACCCAGCUCUACUUGGAAGUUCGUCAGACAGUCGGGGCUGGCUAUACAAAAUAAAACUAGACAGUCCGGACGAAUGCCGCUCGCUUUUGGAUGUGAACGCUUAUCAGCAGUACUGUGAGGAAUGCUAAUAAAAAAAAGUUUAUUUAGACCGCGCACAUCAAGAUCAAUUGAGAUCCAUAUUGAUCAGCUUGUUGUUGACGAUGUCUGAGGAGGAGCACGGGAUGCCAGAUUCGAGUGGUACCACGCUCACUUUGAAAGUACCUGCGGAAAAGUUAGCGUGAA